rnacentral:rRNA from 1 species
GACGGAGGGGGCAAGCGUUGUUCGGAAUUAUUGGGCGUAAAGGGCUCGUAGGCGGACGGGGUAAGUCUGGCGUGAAAUCUCCAUCGCCCAACGAGGAGAGGUCGCUGGAUACUGCUUGUCUGGAGUGCGGCAGGGGAGACUGGAAUUCCUGGUGUAGCGGUGAAAUGCGCAGAUAUCAGGAGGAACACCGGUGGCGAAGGCGGGUCUCUGGGCCGAUACUGACGCUGAGGAGCGAAAGCGUAGGGAGCAAACAGG